ACAGUUUAUAUUAAGGCAGAAGAUCCCCAACACGGGCUUCUCGGAUGGCUCUGUGGUAAAGAAGACUCCUGCCAUGCAGGAGAUGUGGGUUCCAUCCCUGGGUCGGGAAGAGCCCCUGGAGAAGGAAAUGGCAACCCACUGCAGUAUUCUUGCCUGGAAAAUUCCAUAGACAGAGAAGCCUGGCAGGCUACAGUCCAUGGAGUCACAAUUGAGUGUCUAAACAAUAAGAAUAACUAACCCCAACAUGCCUUCCAAAUUCAGUGAAAGUCCAUCAGGUCAUAUUUAUGCAUUUCAAUAACAUAGACUGAGGCUUUUGUUUUAUUUAGGUGCCUGGGUAUUCAAAAGACAAAGGGGUUCUUAGGAGUUUUCUUAGGCAAAGGGCUCAGUAGCUUGGCUCCUUCUGAACAGCCUGUGUAAAGGAAUUAUGUGGCCUGGAUCUUUUCUUCUGCCUGUCAACUCUAUUCGCGCUGGGGGAGUGGAGAAAAGAAUGGUCUCAACUGUUGGGGAUUUCACAGGUUCUUCCAAACAGCUUAGCGAGGGAACAUUUGAUUCUUUCCCUGCCAGCGAAAACAUCCUACGUCCCAUCUCUGUGGCUUCACUCAGGCCACCCAAAGGCGGUCUUAGUUGUCUCUAGUUGCCCACUUCUCUGGUCCUUGUCCUAAGAUUUUUAUGGAACAAGAAAAUAAAUCUGGGAAUUCCCUGGCAGUCCAGUGGUUAGGGACUCAGGGCUUUCACUGCUGGGGCCCAGCCUCCAUCCCUGGUCCAGGAACUAAGAGUCUGCAAGCCAUGUGGUGAGGCAAAAAAAAAAAAAAUGUUGGUUGCAUUGAGUGGAUGGGGAAAACUAGAAAUUGUAAACACAUCUAGAUAGUCUUAGCAUUUGCAAUGUAUUUCUACACAUUAUUUGAUCCUCAAUGGUGCUAUGAGCUAAGAAGGGCAAGCUUGAGUUCUUUUUUGAAAACCUUCAUGCAUUUGGCCAUGUCGGAUCUUGGUUGUGGAAAAUCUUUGAUCUUUGUUGAGGCAUGUGGGAUGUUUCAGCUGUGGCAUGUGAACUCAAUUGUGGCAUGUGGGAUUUAGAUCCCUGACCAGGGAUCCAACCUGGGGUCCCCUGCAUCAGGAGCAUGGAGUCUUAGACACUGGACCACCAGGGAAGUCCCCGAACUCUACAGAUGAGAAGAAGAGUUUCAGAGAAGUGACCUGCCCAAGUGGUGGGGUGCAGACUUGACCUGUGUGGUACCCGAAAGCAGUCCCUCUCAGCUAUAACUUGCUCCACCUGUGUGUUUGUCAAAGCGGAUGUUACAGAAGUCCCAUGGCAGCCCUUCCCUGGAGGUCCAGUGGUUAAGACUCACUCUGCAUUCCACUGCAGGGGACACAGGUUCAAGGUUCAAUCUCUAGUCGGGCAACUAAUAUCCCGCAUGCUAUGCAACUUGGCCAAAAUAAGUAAGUAAAUAAAUGCACACGUGUGCUCAGUCAUGUCUGACUCUUUGUGACAUGGAGGCAUAUGUAGCCCGCCAGGCUCUUUUGUCCAUGGAAUUUUGCAGACAAGAAUACUAGAGUGGGUUGCCAUUUCCUUCUCCAGGGGGUCUUCCUGACUCAGGGAUUGAACCCAUGUCUUCUGUGUCUUCUGUAUUGCAGGCAUAUUCUUUACCACUUGAGCCGUCAGGGAAGCCCAAGUAAGUAAAUAAGUAGAUACGUAAGUGGGUCCUGUGGGAUCAGUGUGCAUAGCCAGAAACAACGAUCUAAUCUAGAAUAGGGAUUUACGUAUAAUGUGGUUGCCAGAAGCCCCACAACCUACCCCAGAGUGCUGUUUCUUUUCAGAGGCAUUAGAGCCAUGGUCUUGAUGUCAAGUCAACCUGAUUCAGUAAGGCAGUUGGGGUAAACAGUUCAGAAGUCAGGUAAACAGUUUCCUGUCUGAAAAAACAGUACCUGGAUGCUACUUGGCGCUAGACCCUAUGUGAGCUGCUAGACCAACAAAGGUGAGUAUUUUUUAAAAACUUAAUUGGAGAAUAAUUGCUUUCCACUAUUGUGUUGUCUUCUGCCAUACAGCAACACGAAUCAGGCAGCCAUAAGUACACGUAGGUCCCCUCCUUCUUGAACUUCUCCCCGACCCCACUUUAGGUUGUCACAGAGUGCCCCUUUGAGCUCCCUGAAUUAUACAGCAACUUUUCCCAUUAGCUUUACCUGUUUUAUAUAUGGCAAUAUGUAUGUUUUAAUACUGUUAUCUCAAUUCAUCCCAACCUCUCCUUCCCCUGCUGGCCAAAGUCUCUUCUUUAUGUCUGCAUCUCUGUUCCUGCUCUGCAAAUAGUUUCAUCAAUACCAUUUUUCUAGAUGCCAUAUUUAUGUGUUAAUAUAUGACGCUUGUUUUUCUCUUUCUGACGUAGCUUCACCUUGUAUAACAUGCUUUGGGUUCAUCCACCUCACUAGAACUGACUCAAAUGUGUUCCUUUUCAUGGCUGAGUAAUAUUCUAUUGUGUAUGUGUACCAAAACUUUUUUAUCCAUUGAUCUGUUGAUGAACACGUAGAUUGCUUCCAUGUCCUGGCUACUGUAAACAGUGCUGCAGUGAACACUGGGACACGUGUCUUUUUCACUUACGGUUUUCUCAAGGUAUAUAUAUGCCUAGCAGUGAGAUUGUUGGGUCAUAUGGUGGUUUUAUUCCUAGUUUUUAAAGGAAUCUCCAUACUGUUCUCCAUAGUGGCGCUAUCAAUUUACAUUCCCACCAACAGUGCAAGAGGGAUCCCUUUUCUUCAGUCUUUCUCCAGCAUUCAUUAUUUGUAGGUUUUUUGAUGAUGGCCAUUCUGAUCGGUGUGAGGUGAUACUUCCGAAGGUGAGUAUUUAUGUUCACUUUCUAUCUCUGCAAAAAACAACUUGAUUUUAUGCCUUACUCUUCCAGGCAAUGGGACUGACAGUGAACAAGCCCCCAAAAAUCCCUGCCCUCGUGGAAAUUACAGCCUAGUCGGGGAGUAGGGUGACCAACUUAUCCUAGUUUGCCUGGGACUUUUCCAGUUUGAACGCUGAAAGGCUGGCAUCCCAGGAACCAUUUAGUCCCAGUAAACCAGGUUCAUUGGUUACUCUCCAGGUAAACCAGAUAUAUUAACAACUGUGUUGAGUGACAGACAUGAUUAAAUUUGCAUUUGAUAGCUCUGGAAGCCAAGUGGAAAUGGCUGCGGAUAGAGGUACGGGGAAGGGUAAACAGCUGGCGCAGUAGCCGGGUGACAGGCCGGUGGUGUGGAUCAGGCAGGUGCCUAUGGGAAUAAAGUAGAGUCUACAGGUGAAUAGACUGCUUAGAUAGGAUGGAUGAAUCAUCAGGAAUGCUCCCGGGUGGUUUUGAAGCUUAAGAAGCCAAGUGGAGGGGUCCUUGGAGGAAUCUGCUGUUACAGAAGGAAGUGACGAUGGUUUGGAGUGUGUUAGGUUUGUAGCCUCAAGAUAACGGUUGUUUUUGGAAAGUACUGAAGCAGAUUUUUCAAACCCUCAAUCUUUGCUGCUUCCAACAAAGAGCUCUUGAAUGGCUGCUCUGUGCUAGACAUGAAGUGAGGUAUUCAGAUACAAUGAGGAGCAAGCAUGACACUGGCCCGUUUUCAUACAGCUAAUGAAAUAAUCCAACUUCCCUGGUGGCUCAACAGUAAAGAAUCCUCCUGCCAUGCAGGAGACUCGGCUUUGAUCUCUGGGUCAGGAAGAUCCCCUGAAGAAGCAAAUGCAACCCAGUCCGGUAUUCUUGCCUGGGAAAUCCCAUGGACAGAGAAGCCUGGCGGGCUACAGUCCAUGGGGUCGAAAAAGAGUCAGACGUGACUUAGUUACUAAACAACAAUAAAAUAAUCACAUUGAGUAUAUGUAUUUAAUUUCUUAGGUAAGCUUUCUGAAGGGCUGGAGCUCAACCUAGGUCAAAUCCCUUGAGAAAGCAUUCUUUAAGUGUUUUUUUUUUUCACAGAAAUUCAGAGUGUAAACUAGGUGAGGGAAAAGAGGGGUAAGAUUGUGGACAGAGGAACCAUCUGCCCUGUGGCACUGAAAACCAAGUCUAGGUGAAGCUCUGAGAGGGAGGAGGAACAUGGUGUCAGAAGAGGCUUAACAGAGGGUUCGAUCCUUGAUCUGGGAAAAUCCCGCAUGCCGAGGAGCAGCUAGCCAGCGUGCCACAACUGCUGAGCCCGUGCUCCAGAGCCCAGGGACCACAACUCCUGAGCCCAGGUGCCGCGACUACUGGAGCCUGUGUGCCCUAGAGCUGGUGCUCUGCAACAAGAGAAGCCACUGCAAGAAGAAGCCUGAGCACUGCAACUAGAGAAAAGCCCGCGUGGCCACGAAGACCCAGCACAGCCAAAAAUAAAUACUUUUUUAAAAAGGGUUUCCUGGUGGUCCAGCGGCUGAGAAUCUGCUUUGCAAUGCAGGUGACCCCAGUUGGAUCCCUGAUCUGGGAAGAGCCCGCGUGCCAUGGAGCAGCUAAGCCAGUGCGCCACAAGUGCUGAGCCUGCGCUCUGAAGCCCGGGAGCCACAACUACUGAGCCCACGUGCCAUAACUACUGAAGCCUGUACACCCUAGAGCCUGCGCUCUGCAACAAGAGAAGCCACUGCAGUGAGAAGCCCACAAUGAAACUAGGCGGUAGCCCCUGCUCGCUGCAACUAGAGAAAGGCCGCCCACAGCAGAGGAAAACUAGCAGAGCCAAAAAUAGAAAUAAAAUUUAAAAA